rnacentral:rRNA from 1 species
CUGGGGGACGGGGUGGCAUCACCAUGCACGUCGUACAGAUGGUAGCACGAGAGCUUGCUCUUGUGGAUCAGUGGCGAACGGGUGAGUAACACGUGAGCAACCUGCCCCUGACUCUGGGAUAAGCGCUGGAAACGGCGUCUAAUACUGGAUAUGUGACGUGACCGCAUGGUCUGCGUUUGGAAAGAUUUUUCGGUUGGGGAUGGGCUCGCGGCCUAUCAGCUUGUUGGUGAGGUAAUGGCUCACCAAGGCGUCGACGGGUAGCCGGCCUGAGAGGGUGACCGGCCACACUGGGACUGAGACACGGCCCAGACUCCUACGGGAGGCAGCAGUGGGGAAUAUUGCACAAUGGGCGAAAGCCUGAUGCAGCAACGCCGCGUGAGGGAUGACGGCCUUCGGGUUGUAAACCUCUUUUAGCAGGGAAGAAGCGAAAGUGACGGUACCUGCAGAAAAAGCGCCGGCUAACUACGUGCCAGCAGCCGCGGUAAUACGUAGGGCGCAAGCGUUAUCCGGAAUUAUUGGGCGUAAAGAGCUCGUAGGCGGUUUGUCGCGUCUGCUGUGAAAUCCCGAGGCUCAACCUCGGGCCUGCAGUGGGUACGGGCAGACUAGAGUGCGGUAGGGGAGAUUGGAAUUCCUGGUGUAGCGGUGGAAUGCGCAGAUAUCAGGAGGAACACCGAUGGCGAAGGCAGAUCUCUGGGCCGUAACUGACGCUGAGGAGCGAAAGGGUGGGGAGCAAACAGGCUUAGAUACCCUGGUAGUCCACCCCGUAAACGUUGGGAACUAGUUGUGGGGUCCAUUCCACGGAUUCCGUGACGCAGCUAACGCAUUAAGUUCCCCGCCUGGGGAGUACGGCCGCAAGGCUAAAACUCAAAGGAAUUGACGGGGACCCGCACAAGCGGCGGAGCAUGCGGAUUAAUUCGAUGCAACGCGAAGAACCUUACCAAGGCUUGACAUAUACGAGAACGGGCCAGAAAUGGUCAACUCUUUGGACACUCGUAAACAGGUGGUGCAUGGUUGUCGUCAGCUCGUGUCGUGAGAUGUUGGGUUAAGUCCCGCAACGAGCGCAACCCUCGUUCUAUGUUGCCAGCACGUAAUGGUGGGAACUCAUGGGAUACUGCCGGGGUCAACUCGGAGGAAGGUGGGGAUGACGUCAAAUCAUCAUGCCCCUUAUGUCUUGGGCUUCACGCAUGCUACAAUGGCCGGUACAAAGGGCUGCAAUACCGUGAGGUGGAGCGAAUCCCAAAAAGCCGGUCCCAGUUCGGAUUGAGGUCUGCAACUCGACCUCAUGAAGUCGGAGUCGCUAGUAAUCGCAGAUCAGCAACGCUGCGGUGAAUACGUUCCCGGGUCUUGUACACACCGCCCGUCA